rnacentral:rRNA from 1 species
GAAUUCAGAUAAACUCCGAAUGCCAUGUACUUAUACUCGGGAGUCAGACUGCGAGUGAUAAGAUCCGUAGUCGAAAGGGAAACAGCCCAGACCACCAGUUAAGGUCCCCAAAUAUAUGUUAAGUGGAAAAGGAUGUGGGGUUGCUUAGACAACCAGGAUGUUGGCUUAGAAGCAGCCACCAUUGAAAGAGUGCGUAAUAGCUCACUGGUCGAGUGACCCCGCGCCGAAAAUGUACCGGGGCUAAACAUAUUACCGAAACUGUGGAUGAACCUCUUUAGAGGUUCGUGGUAGGAGAGCGUUCUAAGGGCGGUGAAGUCAGACCGGAAGGACUGGUGGAGCGCUUAGAAGUGAGAAUGCCGGUAUGAGUAGCGAAAGAAGGGUGAGAAUCCCUUCCACCGAAUAUCUAAGGUUUCCUGAGGAAGGCUCGUCCGCUCAGGGUUAGUCGGGACCUAAGCCGAGGCCGAUAGGCGUAGGCGAUGGACAACAGGUAGAGAUUCCUGUACCAGUGCUAAUUGUUUAACCGAUGGGGUGACACAGAAGGAUAGGGAAUCGCACGAAUGGAAAUGUGCGUCCAAGCAGUGAGUGUGAG